rnacentral:lncRNA from 1 species
AGUUAAAUCAAGGCCAUUUUUAUUAUAGUUUAAUACCUCUUUGUAUAACACAUUAUUCUAGUUUAACACAAAAUAAAUAUAUGUUGUGCUUGGGUAUCCACCAAAUCCCAUCCCUCCUAGAAAUAUGGCCCACAAAAUAUAUUUGGUGAAAAAGCAAAUAAAACCAAAUAAACUCCAGCUGCCCUCAUGGAAAGUUACUGCCCAGAUGAGCUGAGUGUUCGCCUCCAAGAGUCUUAGAUUGGGUGGGCAGCUAACCCUUUCCUGAAUCUGUCUUGUAUCCAGUCCAGUGAACAGGAAACAGCUGAUGACUGUUGAAUUCCAACAGCCCUGCAGUGACCAGAAGCAGCAAGGUGCCCAUCUCUGCCCAGGGCAUCAAGUAAUUCACAGACUCAGCGGUUCCUGUUGUGUUUUUUCUUCUUUUCAGUUCUUUCCAUUUUUUUUUUUGUUUUUUUAGGCAGUUCUAGCAGACGGAUCAAUCAAAGCCCCAGAGCUCUUGUGCCCCUCAAAGAAGAACACAGAGAGAUCCCAUGUGUGAAUAAAUUUCCUCUCCUUCACUGAUGCUCAUUUUUCUUCUCAUUAGCAGAUAAAACUGAACUGGGCAGGAUGGUUGUUAAGCCAACCCUUCUCUUGCUUUCACCACGAACAUGUCUACAUACGCUCUGGCUUAUUCCAUCUUCACGUUGCUCUCCCCUUUUCUUGUUCCUCUCUCUUCACCUUCAGAUUUGAUGUAAACAUGUUUUUCAGAAGAAUCCCCAGUAAACGUUCCAUGAGUGGCCUUGCUUAAUGGAUUUCCCCCAUCACUUACAUUUUCCCCCAGCAAUGUUCUCAUCAUGGCAAUGCUGCUCUAGCGUGCAGGUGGAAUGAGGUGGGAUGGGGUUUGGAUUCAUGGUUCUCAAAUACCCGUAUGCUUAAGUGAUGCCAUGCCACAUCUUUGCCUGAAGAAAAGCCCUCCAGACCAGAGAAGAAAUUUGCUGACUUUUGGAGACUCAUCCCAGAAACAAUGCCUUAGUAGGUAUCAGAAGAGAAUGGACCCAGUUGGAAAGCUUCACUCCUUAGCAUACGUAGCUA